rnacentral:ribozyme from 13 species
UUUUUUUUUUUUUUUUUUUUUUUUUUUUUUUUUUUUUUCUAUUCUUUUUUCUGCCAUAGAAUAAAAA